GACGAACGCUGGCGGCGUGCUUAACACAUGCAAGUCGUACGACAGCAUUUCCUUUUAGGUUGUGUUUGGAGUGGCGAACGGGUGAGUAACACGUGAGUGACCUGCCCUUCACUUUGGGAUAACGUGCGGAAACGUGCGCUAAUACCAAAUAUUCGCAUUUCUGCUGCAUGGUGGGGUGUGGAAAGGGGCCUUCGGGUUCGUGGUGGGGGAGUGGGCGUCGCGGCCUAUCAGC
rnacentral:rRNA from 1 species